rnacentral:rRNA from 1 species
GAACGCUGGCGGCGUGCUUAACACAUGCAAGUCGAACGGUGAACUCCGCUUGCGGGGGGAUCAGUGGCGAACGGGUGAGUAACACGUGGGCAACCUGCCCUCAGCUCUGGGAUAACUCCAAGAAAUUGGGGCUAAUACCGGAUGUGACCGCUGACCGCAUGGUCUGGUGGUGGAAAGAUUUAUCGGCUGGGGAUGGGCCCGCGGCCUAUCAGCUUGUUGGUGGGGUAGUGGCCUACCAAGGCGACGACGGGUAGCCGGCCUGAGAGGGUGACCGGCCACACUGGGACUGAGACACGGCCCAGACUCCUACGGGAGGCAGCAGUGGGGAAUAUUGCGCAAUGGGCGGAAGCCUGACGCAGCGACGCCGCGUGGGGGAUGACGGCCUUCGGGUUGUAAACCUCUUUCAGCAGGGACGAAGCGAGAGUGACGGUACCUGCAGAAGAAGCACCGGCCAACUACGUGCCAGCAGCCGCGGUAAUACGUAGGGUGCAAGCGUUGUCCGGAAUUAUUGGGCGUAAAGAGCUCGUAGGCGGUUCGUCGCGUCGGCUGUGAAAUCCCGAGGCUCAACCUCGGGUCUGCAGUCGAUACGGGCGGACUUGAGUUCGGCAGGGGAGACUGGAAUUCCUGGUGUAGCGGUGAAAUGCGCAGAUAUCAGGAGGAACACCGGUGGCGAAGGCGGGUCUCUGGGCCGAAACUGACGCUGAGGAGCGAAAGCGUGGGGAGCGAACAGGAUUAGAUACCCUGGUAGUCCACGCCGUAAACGUUGGGCGCUAGGUGUGGGGCUCAUUCCACGAGUUCCGUGCCGCAGCUAACGCAUUAAGCGCCCCGCCUGGGGAGUACGGCCGCAAGGCUAAAACUCAAAGGAAUUGACGGGGGCCCGCACAAGCGGCGGAGCAUGUUGCUUAAUUCGAUGCAACGCGAAGAACCUUACCUAGGCUUGACAUGCACGGAAAUCCUCCAGAGAUGGUGGGUCCGUAAGGGCCGUGCGCAGGUGGUGCAUGGUUGUCGUCAGCUCGUGUCGUGAGAUGUUGGGUUAAGUCCCGCAACGAGCGCAACCCUCGUUCUAUGUUGCCAGCACGUGAUGGUGGGGACUCAUAGGAGACUGCCGGGGUCAACUCGGAGGAAGGUGGGGAUGACGUCAAAUCAUCAUGCCCCUUAUGUCUAGGGCUGCAAACAUGCUACAAUGGCCGGUACAAAGGGCUGCGAUACCGCGAGGUGGAGCGAAUCCCAAAAAGCCGGUCUCAGUUCGGAUUGGGGUCUGCAACUCGACCCCAUGAAGUUGGAGUCGCUAGUAAUCGCAGAUCAGCAACGCUGCGGUGAAUACGUUCC